CCUACGGGUGGCUGCAGUCGAGAAUCUUCUGCAAUGGACGCAAGUCUGACAGGGCGACGCCGCGUGCAGGAUGAAGGCCUUCGGGUUGUAAACUGCUGUUGCACCUUACGAACCCCCGAGAGUGAACAGCUCUUCGGGAUGACCAGGGUGUGAGGAAGCACAGGCUAACUCCGUGCCAGCAGCCGCGGUAAUACGGAGUGUGCAAGCGUUACUCGGAAUCACUGGGCAUAAAGCGCGCGUAGGCGGGCUUUCAAGUCGGUUGUGAAAUCCCUCAGCUCAACUGAGGAACUGCAUCCGAUACUGUUUGUCUUGAGGACGAGAGGGGAGAGUGGAACUUCUGGUGGAGCGGUGAAAUGCGUAGAUAUCAGAAGGAACGCCGGUGGCGAAAGCGACUCUCUGGCUCGUAUCUGACGCUGAGGCGCGAAAGCUUGGGUAGCAAA
rnacentral:rRNA from 1 species